UACUCACCCGGGACUCGCCAGGGGACAGCCAACAGGCAUUGGGUGCAAUCACCUUAGCGUUCAGGUACAUGC
rnacentral:sRNA from 1 species